GGGUAAAUUCCAUCUAAAGCUAAAUAUUGGCGAGAGACCGAUAGCGAACAAGUACAGUGAUGGAAAGAUGAAAAGAACUUUGAAAAGAGAGUGAAAAAGUACGUGAAAUUGUUGAAAGGGAAGGGCAUUUGAUCAGACAUGGUGUUUUGUGCCCUCUGCUCCUUGUGGGUAGGGGAAUCCUCGCAUUUCACUUGGGGCCACGCAUGCAGUUUGGGUGGCAGGAUAAAUCCCAUAUGGAAUGUAGCUUGCCUCGGUCAGUAUUAUAGCCUGUGGUAAUACUGCCAGGUGGGGACUGAGGACUGCAACAUAAGUCAAGGAUGCUGGCCUGAUGGUUUAUAUGCCCGCCCA
rnacentral:rRNA from 1 species